rnacentral:rRNA from 1 species
CCUACGGGAUGCAGCAGUGAGGAAUAUUGGUCAAUGGACGAGAGUCUGAUCCAGCCAAGUAGCGUGAAGGAUGAAUGCCCUAUGGGUUGUAAACUUCUUUUAUAUGGGAAUAAAAUGUUCCACGUGUGGGAUUUUGUAUGUACCAUAUGAAUAAGGCUCGGCUAAGUCCGUGCCAGCAGCCGCGGUAAUACGGAGGAUCCGAGCGUUAUCCGGAUUUAGUGGGUUUAAAGGGAGCGUAGGUGGAUUGUUAAGUCAGUUGUGAAAGUUUGAGGCUCAACCGUAAAAUUGCAGUUGAAACUGGCAGUCUUGAGUACAGUAGAGGUGGGCGGAAUUCGUGGUGUAGCGGUGAAAUGCUUAGAUAUCACGAAGAACUCCGAUUGCGAAGGCAGUUCACUGGACUGCAACUGACACUGAGGCUCGAAAGUGUGGGUAUCAAACAGGAUUAGAUACCCCUGUAGUC